CCUACGGGAGGCGGCAGCGGGGAAUCUUGCGCAAUGGGCGAAAGCCUGACGCAGCCACGCCGCGUGCGGGAUGAAGGCCCUAGGGUUGUAAACCGCUUUUAACAGGAACGAAAAUGACGGUACCUGUAGAAUAAGGUGCGGCCAACUACGUGCCAGCAGCCGCGGUGACACGUAGGCACCAAGCGUUGUCCGGAUUUAUUGGGCGUAAAGAGCUCGUAGGCGGUUCAGUAAGUCGGGUGUGAAAACUCUGGGCUUAACCCAGAGACGCCACUCGAUACUAUUGUGACUAGAGUUCGGUAGGGGAGCGGGGAAUUCCUAGUGUAGCGGUGAAAUGCGCAGAUAUUAGGAGGAACACCGGUGGCGAAGGCGCCGCUCUGGGCCGAUACUGACGCUGAGGAGCGAAAGCGUGGGUAGCAAACAGGAUUAGAUACCCUGGUAGUCCACGCCGUAAACGGUGGGCACUAGGUGUGGGUUCCAACCAACGGAAUCCGCGCCGUCGCUAACGCAUUAAGUGCCCCGCCUGGGGAGUACGGCCGCAAGGUUAAACUUAAAUGAAUUGACGG
rnacentral:rRNA from 1 species